rnacentral:rRNA from 1 species
UACGUAGGUGGCUAGCGUUGUCCGGAAUCACUGGGCGUAAAGGGUUCGCAGGCGGAAAUGCAAGUCAAAUGUAAAAGGCAGUAGCUUAACUACUGUAAGCAUUUGAAACUGCAUAUCUUGAGAAGAGUAGAGGUAAGUGGAAUUUUUAGUGUAGCGGUGAAAUGCGUAGAUAUUAAAAAGAAUACCGGUGGCGAAGGCGACUUGCUGGACUUCAACUGACGCUGAGGAACGAAAGCGUGGGUAGCAAACAGG